AACGAACGCUGGCGGCGUGCUUAACACAUGCAAGUCGAACGGAAAGGCCGUGCUUUUGUGGGGUGCUCGGUUGGCGAACGGGUGAGUAACACGUAAGUAACCUGACCUUGACUUUGGGAUAGCUUCAGGAAACUGGGGCUAAUACCGGAUCGGAUAUCCUGCUGCAUGGUGGGGGUUGGAAAGUUUCGGCGGGUGGGGAUGGACUCGCGGCUUAUUGGCUUGUUGGUUGGGUGGUGGCUCACCAAGGCGAUGAUGGGUAGCCGGCCUGAGAGGGUGAUCGGCCACACUGGAACUGAGACACGGUCUAGGCUCCUACGGGACGCAGCAGUGGGCAAUAUUGGACAAAGGGCGGAAGCCUGAUCCAGCCAUCCCGCGUGGGUGAAGAAGGCCUUCGGGUUGUAAUGCCCUUUUGUUGGGAGAGAAAAGCAGCAGGUUAAUACCCCGCUGUACUGACGGUACUCAAUGAAUAAGCACCGGCUAACUUCGUG
rnacentral:rRNA from 1 species